GGGGGCGUUUUAGAUUCGCUCGGGGGAGCAAUGGCAAAAGUGGCGUGUCGAGAUUCCGCUUGAUCUCGUAAAACAGCGGACAAUUUAUAAUUGCCAAAGAUA
rnacentral:tmRNA from 1 species